rnacentral:lncRNA from 1 species
AAACUAUCUAGAAAGACCAUGCAUAAUAAGCAACAGUCAUAAUCAUGCCAAUCAUAUUACUCAAUUUUCUUUCACUAUUUACAAAUCUUUGCGUGAAGUUGUUUAAACCUCUAUUACAGAGGGCAGAGGGGAUCUCUGACUACCAUUGUGAAUGGAAAACAAUUUAAUUCAGUAUACAGUAGUUAGAUCAUAUACUAUGACCACGAGAUUCUUUGCCACUAUGAUCCCUACAAU